rnacentral:rRNA from 1 species
UUCUUUUUGCUGACGAGUGGCGACGGGUGAGUAAAGCUUGGAAUCUGUCUUAUGAGGGGAUAACUACGGGAAACUGUAGCUAAUACGCGUAACAUCUUAGGAUUAAAGUNUGGGCUCUUCGGACCACACGCCAUAAGUUGAGCCCAAGUGGGAUUAGGUAGUUGGUGGGGUAAAGGCCUACCAAGCUGACGAUCUCUAGCUGGUCUGAGAGGAUGACCAGCCACACUGGAACUGAGACACGGUCCAG